rnacentral:tRNA from 1 species
GCAGUGGUAGUUCAGUGGUGGAAUUCACACCUUCCAUGUGGGAGAGCCAGGAUCAAUUCCUGGCCAGUGCA